rnacentral:rRNA from 1 species
AGCGAACGCUGGCGGCAGGCUUAACACAUGCAAGUCGAACGCAUCCUUCGGGGUGAGUGGCAGACGGGUGAGUAACACGUGGGAACAUACCUUUUGGUUCGGAAUAACUCAUGGAAACGUGAGCUAAUACCGGAUACGCCCUUUUGGGGAAAGAUUUAUUGCCGAAAGAUUGGCCCGCGUCUGAUUAGCUAGUUGGUGAGGUAAUGGCUCACCAAGGCGACGAUCAGUAGCUGGUCUGAGAGGAUGAUCAGCCACACUGGGACUGAGACACGGCCCAGACUCCUACGGGAGGCAGCAGUGGGGAAUAUUGGACAAUGGGCGCAAGCCUGAUCCAGCCAUGCCGCGUGAGUGAUGAAGGCCUUAGGGUUGUAAAGCUCUUUUAUCCGGGAAGAUAAUGACUGUACCGGAAGAAUAAGCCCCGGCUAACUUCGUGCCAGCCGCCGCCGUAA